GCUGGUCUUGUAAACCAGUAAUGAAAAAANNCCUUUUUCUCAGGACA
rnacentral:tRNA from 1 species